rnacentral:rRNA from 1 species
UACGGGGGGGGCAAGCGUUGUUCGGAAUUACUGGGCGUAAAGGGUUAGUAGGUGGCCAACUAAGUCAGACGUGAAAUCCCUCAGCUUAACUGGGGAACUGCGUCUGAGACUGAUUGGCUCGAGGACAGGAGAGGAACGCGGAAUUCCAGGUGUAGCGGUGAAAUGCGUAGAUAUGACAUAGAACACCAAUUGCGAAGGCAGCUCACUACUCAAUCAUUGACUCUGAGGCACGAAAGCGUGGGGAUCAAACAGG